UACGGAGGGGGCUAGCGUUGUUCGGAAUUACUGGGCGUAAAGCGCGCGUAGGCGGACCUGCAAGUCGGGGGUGAAAGCCCGAGGCUCAACCUCGGAACUGCCUUCGAUACUGCGGGUCUCGAGUCCGGGAGAGGUGAGUGGAAUUCCUAGUGUAGAGGUGAAAUUCGUAGAUAUUCGCAAGAACACCAGUGGCGAAGGCGGCCGACUGGUCCGGUUCUGACGCUGAGGCGCGAAAGCGUGGGGAGCAAACAGG
rnacentral:rRNA from 1 species